rnacentral:rRNA from 1 species
AAUCAACGCUGGCGGCGUGCCUCAGACAUGCAAGUCGAACGCGAAAGGCCCCUUCGGGGGCCCGGUAGAGUGGCGCACGGGUGAGUAACACGUAGGUAAUUUGCCUUCGGGUGGGGAAUAACAGCCGGAAACGGCUGCUAAUACCGCAUAAUGCAGCGGCUCGACAUCGAGACAGUUGUUAAAGCGGGGGAUCGCAAGACCUCGCGCCUGAAGAGAAGCCUGCGGCAGAUAGCUUGUUGGUGAGGUAAUGGCUCACCAAGGCGACGAUCUGUAACCGGCCUGAGAGGGCGGUCGGUCACACUGACACUGACAUACGGGUCAGACUCCUACGGGAGGCAGCAGUCGGGAAUUUUGGGCAAUGGGCGAAAGCCUGACCCAGCAACGCCGCGUGAAGGAUGAAAUCUCUCGGGAUGUAAACUUCGCAAGAACGGAAGAAUAA